rnacentral:rRNA from 1 species
UACGUAGGGUGCGAGCGUUAAUCGGAAUUACUGGGCGUAAAGCGUGCGCAGGCGGUUUUGCAAGACAGAUGUGAAAUCCCCGGGCUUAACCUGGGAACUGCAUUUGUGACUGCAAGGCCAGAGUGUGUCAGAGGGAGGUGGAAUUCCGCGUGUAGCAGUGAAAUGCGUAGAGAUGCGGAGGAACACCGAUGGCGAAGGCAGCCUCCUGGGAUAACACUGACGCUCAUGCACGAAAGCGUGGGGAGCAAACAGG